UACGUAGGGCGCAAGCGUUGUCCGGAAUUAUUGGGCGUAAAGAGCUCGUAGGUGGCUUGUCACGUCGGGUGUGAAAGCUUGGGGCUUAACUCCAGGUCUGCAUUCGAUACGGGCUGGCUAGAGGUAGGUAGGGGAGAACGGAAUUCCUGGUGUAGCGGUGAAAUGCGCAGAUAUCAGGAGGAACACCGGUGGCGAAGGCGGUUCUCUGGGCCUUACCUGACGCUGAGGAGCGAAAGCGUGAGGAGCGAACAGG
rnacentral:rRNA from 1 species